AUAUUAGAUAUAUAACUAUUGUUUACACCCGUUCGACGUUACAACACAAGCCACAAAAUAUGCACAAUCACAAGUCGCAACGCCAACGAGUGCGGUCGGACCUGUUUCGCUGUAGACGUGUCGUUUGGAAAAUAUUUCAUCGAAACGAGUAAAAACUAUUCGUGAACGUCUUGAAGAGAGUAGAGAAUAAAAAUGGAUGGAUUAGUGCAGUCGGUAGUGUACGACACGUCGUCUCCAGCAAACAUUUAUUCUGCAACGGUAAUGCAAAAGGUCGACGGCGACCAAAAGAUUGUUAUGAUUGCAUCAAAAAAAGACAUGAUCACUCUGGAGUCGAAGAUAAUAGACGAUAAGGUCGAAACUUCUAUCGUGGAACUCAAUUUUUCAAAUAUUCCAAGUAAUGCAGAGAUCAUUUCUAUACACUGCAUAAACAGAUGUAAGGAGUUUGAUGAUUUCGUUUUCGGGAUAACAUAUGCAUUGAUUGUAGAAGAUGAAGAGCCUGAAACGGCUGAAACAUACUUGAACUUAUACUCAGGAUUUCCUGGUUCAUCAUUAGAGGCUAUAAUGGAAAAUUGUAAAACACUUAAAUUGGAUUUUGUUCCAUUUCAAUUGAACCAUGCCAUUUAUAUGUCAGAAUUGCAAAAAAAUGGCAUGUGGUUGUUAUCAGGAAGUGAUAAAAAAAUACACGCUUAUAAGAUUGAAGAACAAGAAAUUCUUGAACAAAAAGUUGAAGAAUAUUUUAUUGAAUUUGAAGAUACAAAAGACUCCAUUGUUCUAUGUUUUGGUACCAAAUCAUUAAGCGACUACAAAAAAAGAUUAUCAUAUUAUGGAUGUGAAACAGGAUAUUCAAUGUUAGCAAUAGUAGAUUCAGGAAAAAAUCAAAUACUGCAUUGCUUUUUAGAACGUUAUGAGUCGCCAAUAACAGUCAUGCAAUUGUUCAACAUACAUAAAAAAACCGUUGACAUUGACAACAUUCUCUCAGUCAAAGAUGAUUCCAUACCAGAUUGUGACACUGUAGAUGAAAAAGAACAAGUCUGUUUACUAGUAGGGAGUGCAGUUGAAAGUGCUGUUGUAUAUAUGCAAGUACUGGAAUGUGUUGAAAAACGAUUUAAGAAAUGCAAUUACAUUGACCGAUAGUAAUAGACACCAAGCUAUUGUGUGCGCUUUAAUCACAGAUGUAAAUUUUGAUUCCAAGAACGAAAUACUACUUGGGACUUAUGGAAAUUAUAUUUUAAAUUAUGUCUACGAAAAUAACAAUUGGGUGGAACAACAACAAUUUGAUAUGAGAGACUCGGUAUAUACAAUUUGUUAUUUAGAUAUAGCUGGUGAAGGAGUGAAUGAUGUUGUUGUAAUGAGUGAAAGAGGAA
rnacentral:misc_RNA from 1 species